UUGGAAUAAGUUUUACAUACCUACAUGUAUGCGUAAAUUAAAUUCAAAUUCGAAUUUCAGUUUUUAUUACAUUUUUGAAAAGUUCUGUAUUUGGAGAUAAAUUAAAUAUUUGAAAAUACUGAUUUUCCGGAGCUGUCGAUCGGCGUCGAAUUGGAUAAUUGCGGUAGAGUGUUGAAGCGGCGCUGUGUAUAUGCGAAAAUAUGAUGGGCGAACUGUAUGGGACGAAUUGUGUAAAAGAAUGUGUUGUAUCUGCUCAAGAGACCAUCCUUUAUGCUGAGUGGGUGGAUGUACAAGUGUGGAGAGUUGUCUUGUGUGCGCGUGUGGUGUCGUCAAGUAUUCGUGUUUGCUAGUUUUUCCGGAUUAAGUGGGGCAUGCUUAACUCAUUUAAACAACAUGUAUGUAUACCGUUCGCACUAAAGUCGGGUCUCAGUAGCCGAAACCGACGCGGAUUUUUAUCCGGUCAAGGACAAUCCAGUCUGCACCAUUCCUCGAUACCACUUCUGCUACAAAAACAACAGUGUAAAAUAUGACUGAAGACCGAAAGAACUCUCGGAAACAGUACCAUUUACCAUUAUACAUUAUAUUUCCUUUGGGAAUCUAACUCUUCUACAACUCUUCUAUUGAAAAAUAAACCCAAAUUUACGGCGUGUGCAUGCUGAGUAGGCAGCGAUCUUCAUACAUAUUUUCCACUAAACGAAAACACAUACUUUUACAUUUCAUACAAUAAUUUAUUAUCGYCUUUUAUUUCGAACAAAAUAUAAAAAAUUAUUGCAAUAAUAUUUACUUAUAUAUAAUAUCGUAUUAAGUUAUAGCUAAAACUGAGUUAUAAAAAAAAAAAAUUAAAAAUUGAUAAUAGAAAUAAUUGUUCAGUUUAAUAUCUACAAUUGCGAUUACACGCGCGAAUAUAUUCAUUAUAGUUUAUUUAUAAUAUUAAUAUUGAUUUAAGCCCAAUUCUUGUCUGACAAGUGCGAAUUGUACAGAUUAUGCUACAUUUACAUAUUGGCAAAUAAAAACGGAAGAAAAAUCAAAA